UUCUUUAUCAUAUCUUUUUUCCUCCCCCUUCUCUCUAUCUCUUUCUUUCUUUUUUUUCUUUCCAUUCUUCUUUUCACAACAUGUUUUGGGUCAACCUGAAGUAGAUUUUCUAGUAUCAAAAAAGUGUAUUUAGAAGAUGGUGAAAAGAAGAAAAGGAGAAGGCCUUCAGUUAGGCCUUUCAAUUUUGUAUUUCAUUUCGUUAUUAUCUUCUCUCUUUUUUUGGUAGCUUCAAACAACUUCUUCUGGCCCUUCAUGCAUAACCUUCUUGUUUUUUUGUUACUUUUUCACUCCCUUCUUCAUCUUCUCAAUCUUCUUCACCAUCAUCAUCACCAUCAUCAUCCUCUCCUCCUCCGCCUCAUCAUACUUUCCUCUCUCUUUUGAAUUAAUCUUUGGUUCUUGUCUCAUUUAGCUUCAUCUUACAAUCUUCUCUUCUCUCUCUCCGCACAUUUUCUUUAUGUAUUUCUGAGUUUCUCAAUCUGAUUCUUUCUUUAUUAACUGAAAGAAUGUUGAUUUACAUUUUUGUACCGUCAACAACUGUCAUCAAUGUGAUCUUAUCUUGUCCUUUUUUGAUCAACAUCGUUCUAAAUUCACUCAUUCAUUAAUUAAUUAAUUCAUUCAUUCAUCGUUUACUUUUACUCGGCCCACAACAAUAAAUUGAAUCUUAAUAAAUUAUUGUUUGCCAUUCAAAUUAAUAGGUGAACAAACAUAUAGCUCUUUCUACCGAACAACUUUAAAGGAUAAACAACUGGAAACUUGAAGAUAUUUCGUUCCAUGGACCUUUAUCUUUCCAAAUUUUUGUUGACUCUUAAUCUUGGUGAGAGAGCGAAGUAUUAAAAGAAACUGGAAAAAUGUAUAAUUUAUAACAUCUUCGUCAUCAUCAUCAUCAUAAUCAUCUUACAAGAAAGGAAAAAAAUGUUGACACUGAAAGUGAUGUAAAAAUCCAGGUAAAUCAAGUUUUUUUAGGCAGCGAUCAAGGCCAUAUUAACCGUAGCAAAGGAGCGAAGCAAAACUGGUUGAAAAAUAAAAAAGAAAGGACAAACCAAAUGGAUGUAAAGAAACCAAGGAAUAAGGCUAAGCCCAUGAAUGCGUAAAGAAAGAUACAACGAAAUGUAUUCUACACCUCCAAUCCACCAUAGAUAUUUAACUACAAUGAGGACAGCGAUGAUGACAAUGAUGAUGAUAGUUAAACGGGCAAACUAAGAUGGCUGGGUCGUAUUUGAAUGUCUAUGAGAGCCUGUUGGAUAUGGACCAGGACUGAUGUACAGUUCGUUGGUCCAUUGAUUAAGCCAGAUGAAGGAGAGGUUUAACUCCUUUUCUCAUCCAUCCAUCCAUCUUAUCUUCUGCUUCUCCUGUUUCUCUUUUCCUAACUCUCUUUUUUUCUGGUUUAGGUCAGGUCAGGUCAAAGUGAAAAAAGAGUCGAAAGCAGAAAAAAAAGGAGAGUGAAAUAAGUCAAUAUUUACACUUAUAUUUCGCAUUCUGUUCUCGCUCUUUCUUUUCUCCAAGCAGCAAAUUGAGCAACACUUUUUGUUUAAUCAUUUGCAGAAAUCAAAAUGUGAAUAAUGGCAAUAACAAUUUAACUUGUGGAUGAUACUUGUCACCUUGCAUCAAUCUUUCUAAAUCACAAUUAACUCAGUUGACUUUAAUUUUUUUAUGCUGCUGCUACUCAUUUUCAGUUGACUUUUAAUUUUGAGACGUAGAUUUAGAUUAUAAACAACAACGUCUUCGGUCUAAUAAUUUAUUUUUUUUCUCUCUCUCUCUCCACUCUUCUUCAGUCUCUUCUUGAUGUUCCUUCACAAGUCACAGACCUUUGAUUAUGAAUUGAUUGUGAGUUGAUUGUUGAGCUGUUGUUAACUGCAUUUCCCAUUAGAUCAUUGAGAAAUCACUGGACCGGAUAAGGGUAGAAACUAAACCCUGUUACGUUUUUUUCAUUUCUUUCUCCAUAAAACUUCUUUUUUCUUUGCUUCUUUACCCAUUUUCAUUUUCUUGUCUUUCCCUUGCCCACUGAAUGCCAAGCACUGCCCUUUGCUACUAAAUACAUAUUACUGUGAUUACUUAUUA